GAGUUUUGAUCCUGGCUCAGGAUGAACGCUAGCUACAGGCUUAACACAUGCAAGUCGAGGGGAAACGACAUCGAAAGCUUGCUUUUGAUGGGCGUCGACCGGCGCACGGGUGAGUAACGCGUAUCCAACCUCGCCCACCACUUGGGGAUAACCUUGCGAAAGUAAGACUAAUACCCAAUGAUAUCUCUAGAAGACAUCUGAAAGAGAUUAAAGAUUUAUCGGUGAUGGAUGGGGAUGCGUCUGAUUAGCUUGUUGGCGGGGUAACGGCCCACCAAGGCAACGAUCAGUAGGGGUUCUGAGAGGAAGGUCCCCCACAUUGGAACUGAGACACGGUCCAAACUCCAACGGGAGGCAGCA
rnacentral:rRNA from 1 species